rnacentral:rRNA from 1 species
GAUGAACGCUGGCGGCGUGCUUAACACAUGCAAGUCGAACGGAAAGGCCGAAGCUUGCUUCGGUACUCGAGUGGCGAACGGGUGAGUAACACGUGGGUGAUCUGCCCUGUACUUCGGGAUAAGCUUGGGAAACUGGGUCUAAUACCGGAUAUGACGAUCUCUUGGAUGGGGUUGUGGAAAGCUUUUGCGGUAUGGGAUGAGCUCGCGGCCUAUCAGCUUGUUGGUGGGGUAAUGGCCUACCAAGGCGUCGACGGGUAGCCGGCCUGAGAGGGUGUACGGCCACAUUGGGACUGAGAUAAGGCCCAGACUCCUACGGGAGGCAGCAGUGGGGAAUAUUGCACAAUGGGCGCAAGCCUGAUGCAGCGACGCCGCGUGGGGGAUGACGGCCUUCGGGUUGUAAACUCCUUUCGCAAUCGACGAAGCCUUUUGGUGACGGUAGGUUGAGAAGAAGCACCGGCUAACUACGUG